rnacentral:rRNA from 1 species
AACACGACUCUCGACAAUGGAUAUCUUGGCUCUUGCAUCGAUGAAGAGCGCAGCAAAAUGCGAUACGUGGUGUGAAUUGCAGAAUCCCGUGAACCAUCGAGUUUUUGAACGCAAGUUGCGCCCGAGGCCAACCGGCUGAGGGCACGUCCGCUUGGGUGUCAAGU